AAUAGAUACCCGGGUAGUCCAUGCCGUAAACGUUGGGCGCUAGAUGUGGGGACCAUUCCACGGUUUCCGUGUCGCAGCUAACGCAUUAAGCGCCCCGCCUGGGGGAGUACGGCCGCAAGGCUAAAAACUCAAAGGAAUUGACGGGGGGUCCCGCACAAGCGGCGGAGCAUGCGGAUUAAUUCGAUGCAACGCGAAGAACCUUACCAAGGCUUGACAUAUACGAGAACGCUCUAGAAAUAGAGAACUCUUUGGACACUCGUAUACAGGUGGUGCAUGGUUGUCGUCAGCUCGUGUCGUGAGAUGUUGGGUUAAGUCCCGCAACGAGCGCAACCCUCGUUCUAUGUUGCCAGCGGUUCGGCCGGGAACUCAUAGGAGACUGCCGGGGUCAACUCGGAGGAAGGUGGGGAUGACGUCAAAUCAUCAUACCCCUUAUGUCUUGGGCUUCACGCAUGCUACAAUGGCCGGUACAAAGGGCUGCAAUCCGUAAGGUGGAGCGAAUCCCAAAAAGCCGGUCUCAGUUCGGAUUGAGGU
rnacentral:rRNA from 1 species